rnacentral:rRNA from 1 species
UACGUAGGGUGCGAGCGUUGUCCGGAAUUACUGGGCGUAAAGAGCUCGUAGGUGGUUUGUCGCGUUGUUCGUGAAAUUCCCUGGCUUAACUGGGGGCGUGCGGGCGAUACGGGCAGACUGGAGUACUGCAGGGGAGACUGGAAUUCCUGGUGUAGCGGUGGAAUGCGCAGAUAUCAGGAGGAACACCGGUGGCGAAGGCGGGUCUCUGGGCCUGUACUGACGCUGAGGAGCGAAAGCGUGGGGAGCGAACAGG